rnacentral:rRNA from 1 species
GAUGAACGCUGGCGGCGUGCCUAAUACAUGCAAGUCGAGCGAACGGACGCGACGCUUGCUUCUCUGAUGUUAGCGGCGGACGGGUGAGUAACACGUGGAUAACCCACCUAUAAGACUGGGAUAACUUCGGGAAACCGUAGCUAAUCCCGGAUAAUCUUUUGCACCGCAUGGUUCAAAAGUGAAAGACGGUCUUUCUGUCACUUCUAGAUGGUUCGGCGCUGCUUUAGAUAGUUGGUAAGGUAACGGCUUACCAAGGCAACGAUGCAUAGCCGACCUGAGAGGGGGAUCGGCGACACUGGAGCUGAGACACGGUCCAGACGCCUACGGGAGGCAGCAGUAGGGAAUCUUCCGCAGUGGGCGAAAGCCUGACGGAGCGACGCCGCGUGAGUGGUGGAGGUCUUCGGAUCGUAAAGCUCUGUUAUGAGGGAAGAACAUAUGUGGAAGUAGCUGUGCACAGCUUGACGGUACCUAAUCAGAAAGCCACGGCUAACUACGUG